rnacentral:rRNA from 1 species
UACGUAGGGGGCAAGCGUUGUCCGGAUUUAUUGGGCGUAAAGAGCGUGUAGGCGGCCUGGUAGGUCAGCUGUGAAAACUCGAGGCUCAACCUCGAGAUGUCGGCGGAAACCAUCUGGCUAGAGUCCGGAAGAGGAGAGUGGAAUUCCUGGUGUAGCGGUGAAAUGCGCAGAUAUCAGGAAGAACACCUAUGGCGAAGGCAGCUCUCUGGGACGGUACUGACGCUGAGACGCGAAAGCGUGGGGAGCGAACAGG